UUGGGAUGAUGCGUACAGUGAAAAUGGUUUAGAUGAAACAUGAGGUCAUUUCACUUUCAUGAUUCUUAAUGACAACCAUCGUCCAUGAAAACAACUUAGUAAGACGCAGAAGAAGAACGAUCUACCACAGAGGACAGAGGUGGAGAGUUAUUCUUCUUUAGACUGAACAUUCCCAGUGGGUCUUGGCCAUUCCCUCGCCGAUUGCUGGAAGCCUCAUCGUGGACUAAAUUUUAUGCGCCUCACGUCUCUGCAUCCGGGAUCUACUGUUGACUGAGCCAAGACAACAACAACAGGUACUAACCUGCCUUCAAGGCAUUUGCCUACUUUUCAAACCUGUUAACUUUCGACGAAUGCCUUUUCUUUUAAAUGAGCUUGACGAGAGACACAUUCUGACUACAAAUGUCAC